UCGAGAAUAGUCUACAAUGGCCGGAAGGCUGAUAGUGCGACGCCGCGUGAACGAGGGAGCCCUUCGGGGUGUAAAGUUCUUUCGGCAGGGACGAUAAUGACGGUACCUGCAGAAGCAGCUGCGGCUAACUACGUGCCAGCAGCCGCGGUAAUACGUAGGCAGCGAGCGUUGUUCGGAGUUACUGGGCGUAAAGGGUGUGUAGGCGGUUGCUUAAGUUUUGUGUGAAAUCUCCCGGCUCAACUGGGAGGGUGCGCCGAAUACUGAGCGGCUAGAGUGCGGGAGAGGAGAGUGGAAUUCCUGGUGUAGCGGUGAAAUGCGUAGAUAUCAGGAGGAACACCGGUGGUGUAGACGGCUCUCUGGACCGUAGCUGACGCUGAGACACGAAAGCGUGGGUAGCAAACAGG
rnacentral:rRNA from 1 species